rnacentral:rRNA from 1 species
GAUGAACGCUGGCGGCAUGCCUAAUACAUGCAAGUCGAGCGAACAGACGAGGAGCUUGCUCCUCUGACGUUAGCGGCGGACGGGUGAGUAACACGUGGAUAACCUACCUAUAAGACUGGGAUAACUUCGGGAAACCGGAGCUAAUACCAGAUAAUAUAUUGAACCGCAUGGUUCAAUAGUGAAAGACGGUUUUGCUGUCACUUAUAGAUGGAUCCGCGCCGCAUUAGCUAGUUGGUAAGGUAACGGCUUACCAAGGCAACGAUGCGUAGCCGACCUGAGAGGGUGAUCGGCCACACUGGAACUGAGACACGGUCCAGACUCCUACGGGAGGCAGCAGUAGGGAAUCUUCCGCAAUGGGCGAAAGCCUGACGGAGCAACGCCGCGUGAGUGAUGAAGGUCUUCGGAUCGUAAAACUCUGUUAUUAGGGAAGAACAAAUGUGUAAGUAACUAUGCACGUCUUGACGGUACCUAAUCAGAAAGCCACGGCUAACUACGUG